rnacentral:tRNA from 1 species
UGCCCGGUGGUGUAAUGGCAACACGCAAGAAUUUGGAUCUUGUUUUCCAGGUUCGAAUCCUGGCUGGGCAG